rnacentral:rRNA from 1 species
GACGAACGCUGGCGGCGUGCUUAGCACAUGCAAGUCGAACGGAAAGGCCCUGCUUUUGUGGGGUGCUCGAGUGGCGAACGGGUGAGUAACACGUGAGUAACCUGCCCUUGACUUUGGGAUAACUUCAGGAAACUGGGGCUAAUACCGGAUAGGAGCUCCUGCUGCAUGGUGGGGGUUGGAAAGUUUCGGCGGUUGGGGAUGGACUCGCGGCUUAUCAGCUUGUUGGUGGGGUAGUGGCUUACCAAGGCUUUGACGGGUAGCCGGCCUGAGAGGGUGACCGGCCACAUUGGGACUGAGAUACGGCCCAGACUCCUACGGGAGGCAGCAGUGGGGAAUAUUGCACAAUGGGCGGAAGCCUGAUGCAGCAACGCCGCGUGCGGGAUGACGGCCUUCGGGUUGUAAACCGCUUUCGCCUGUGACGAAGCGUGAGCGACGGUAAUGGGUAAAGAAGCACCGGCUAACUACGUG